GACCUCUUUGAAAAGAAAGGCUACACCUUUGACUAUGCCUAUGAUUGGGUUGGGAGACCUAUUCCUACUCCAGUAGGGUCAGUUCACGUAGAUUCUGGUGCAUCUGCAAUAACUCGAGAAAGCCACACACAUAGGGAUCGGCCAUCACAACAGCAGCCUCUUCGAAAUCAGAGCCUUAGGACUGUUACAGCUGAGCAUUAUGAUGUUAACAACUCAGCCAUCUGGCACAGGGGAAGAGGCACCUAAACAGAUUCUUCUGGACAAAAGUCACAUAUGAGCAAGAUCAGAAUAGUAGCAGAUGUAAAAAGCAGAAUGUAUCAUCAGAGCGCCGAGGAGAGUGGGAAAUUCAGCCCAGCCGGCAGACCAAUACCUCAUACCUAACGUCUCACUUGGCUGCAGACCGCCAUGGGGGAUCAGUGCAGCCAAGGUCUUUAACAAGCAGAGUGUUUUGUCCAGCAGUGAGGCCCCUUUUCCCACUUCCCAGCACCCACAUAAACAGGAAUAAUGUGCUGGAAAUGAAACCAGGUGGCAGAAGCAGCUACACAUGCAAGAGAAGCCUGAUUGGGUCCACAUUAACCAGAUGACAGGAGUGAGAGCCUUCACUUACAUUUCGGGGACCAUCAGUGAGAACUGGGAUGGCAGUGAACCUGAAAUAAAGAUCGUUGAAA
rnacentral:lncRNA from 1 species